CGAGCCGCGUCGUCGCGCGACUCUUCUCCGCGAGGAUGGAGCAGCUCGCCCAGUUCGUCUCCAAGAGCUUCGACAACGCGAGCCUGCCCGGGCCCGAGCAUUGCAGGACCACGGACAGGCCGCCAUCCGCGAGGAUCACGCUGAGUGUCGCGCACCUACUCGGGGACCCCGCCGAGAACGAGACCAAUGCCGGCGCGUCGGUUCGCGAGUCCGUUCAGGAUCCGUCGAGCCUCGAGGCGAGCAGCGCCGAGGAGCCACCGUCGCCGGAGGCCCGGCUGCAACCGGAAGACCUCUCGGUCACGACCAAGUCGAAGGAGACCGUUAAGGACGCCGCGAACACCGCCGAGAGCCUUCCGCCAUUGAAGACGCCCGAGCUGAAGCUCUCUGUGAGGAAACUGCUGGGAUGCAGCCCGUCGCCGCCGCCGAUCUCGAGGGACCGAACCCCGAGCCCGGAGAAUUGCAUCGAGCUCAAGAGCCAGACCGUCGGCGACGCGAAGACGCCGACGGACCUCAAGCUGCCGUCGCAGCUCGCCAGAUCGUUGACGCAGGGCCAGGAGGAGAACGCGAAAGGUUCGAACUGUCGGAACAACGGAAACGGAAACGGUAAGCAGCGAAGGUCCAGGACGAACUUCACCCUGGAACAGCUGGCGGAGCUGGAGAGGCUGUUCGACGAGACACACUAUCCGGACGCGUUCAUGCGGGAGGAGCUCAGCCAGAGAUUAGGGCUGAGCGAGGCGAGGGUUCAAGUCUGGUUCCAGAACCGGCGGGCGAAGUGUCGCAAACACGAGAGUCAAUUGCACAAAGUUACAGGGGUAGCAGGUGGAAUGGUGCUGGCACCACGCAGCCCCCCGACCAGCCUGGAGCCCUGCCGUGUGGCGCCGUACCUGCCGGCGCUCAGGUUGCAUCCGCCGAUGCAGGGUGCAGGUGGAAACGUGACGGCUGCGGCCGGUUCGGCGUUCGACCCGGCGGUCCUCCAUUACGCGGCAGCCGGCGGAUUAUUUUGUUUGCCACCGCCGCCGCCGCCGCCGCCGACCUCCGGCCAUCCGCACCCCCACCCCCUCAGCCUGGCAGCGUCUCUAGCGGCUGCCGCGGCUCGGUCCAAGAACAGCAGCAUCGCGGACCUCAGACUGAAGGCUAGACGACACCAGGAGGCCCUGGGCCUGGACAGGCCCGCGUAAAACUCGACCCGGAGGACCCGGGCGGUGAGAGUUUAGGGCCUCUGGACGGUCGCGGUUAGGGUUGUUGCGCGGCGAAGUGAAACCGUCGCGUCGCCACCUUGACGGGUAUAUCUGCCAGGCCGCCAUAACUUUCCAUCGGAUUUACUACGGAUCGUGACGUAGUAACUUUAAAGAAACUAGCGUUUGGUGUUAGGGAUCAAUGGCAAAUGUUACGCACGAAAGUGCUGUAGUUUCGCUUCACCGUGAACCGAGCGUAGUAAACCAAUGGCAGGCCAGCGAUAUACCUGGGGAAACAAUAAUUGGUUCGAACAAGCGUAACGCACCGUUCGGCGGCAUCCCGCCGUGUCUCGAGCACGCGUUUCUGACAGUUACAUGCAUACGUACGUAUGUAUUCAGAAGCGGCGGCGGCGGCGACUGCGACGACGGCGGCGGCGGCUCUCGUUCGAGACGCCGCCAUCUUGUAAACUCGGCCUGCGAGAUGGCCUCGUCCAAAACGCGCGUACGGACCGCUGUCCGUGAAGUACAAAAACCGGGGACUUCUCGAUGUGUAUAAAGUGAAUUUUUUGCGCAGACGUGUGUAUGAUAUAUGGACGUAUAAUUAUAAUGUACAUGUAUAAAUAUAUAUUAUAAAUAGUCGAGGGUCAGUAGUGAUGUUGGGCUUGAAACAAAAACAAAACAAACAAAAAAAAAGAAACACUUACGAAGACGAAUCCCCCCCGUGAUACUCGUUCCUCCCCGACGACGACGACGGAACGGCUGUUCGUUCGCGAAACGCGAUGCACCGUGCUGCGAUUGAAUAAAUAUUACGAUCGAUAUCGAGUCUUUUUCUUUCUUUUUUUUUUUAAUGAUCGCUAAUUAUAGUCACACGUGACAGAAAGUUAUACGAGACUUUUAGGUUCUCGACGUUUCGAGAACGAACACACUACUCCGGCUGUUCCCGGACGCAAAAGAUUGUCAUUCUGUAUACUAUUAGCUUUAAAAUAUAUAAACUUGAUCCUUCAA